UGAACGCUGGCGGCGUGCCUAACACAUGCAAGUCGAACGGAGAUGUCCGCCGAUGAAGCUUCGGCCGAAUCAUGGAACAACUUAGUGGCGGACGGGUGAGUAACGCGUGGGCAACCUGCCCUGCACUGGGGGAUAGCAGCUGGAAACGGCUGGUAAUACCGCAUAAGCGCACGGUACUGCAUGGUACAGUGUGAAAAAUUCCGGUGGUGCAGGAUGGGCCCGCGUCCGAUUAGCCAGUUGGCGGGGUAACGGCCCACCAAAGCGACGAUCGGUAGCCGGCCUGAGAGGGCGGACGGCCACAUUGGGACUGAGACACGGCCCAGACUCCUACGGGAGGCAGCAGUGGGGGAUAUUGCACAAUGGGGGAAACCCUGAUGCAGCGACGCCGCGUGGGUGAAGAAGUAUUUCGGUAUGUAAAGCCCUAUCAGCAGGGACGAUAAUGACGGUACCUGAGUAAGAAGCCCCGGCUAACUACGUGCCAGCCGCGGC
rnacentral:rRNA from 1 species